CACAAAAUUUCAAAUUUCGACGUUACUCCGUCCACGCUCCACGAUUUCCAUAAUCCAAUCCACGUUUUCUAAUCACUGGCUUCCGGUCACUUUUACUUCACCCGCGUGCGAGAUUGUUCGUGAAAAAUGUGAUCUCUUAUGUAUGGGAUGCUGCGACAGUGCGCAUGGCAAUUGAGAAUGGGUCUUUUGGUUUUGUGGCAAAAGGAGCAGUAUGGAAAUUAAUACAUUUGGUUGAACAUUUUAGGUUCGACACGGCUAACUCUAGCGUCCCACGUGCCUAUCCACCACCAAUAUAUGCACACAGCCCAAUAAAUGCUAAUAAAUGACUACAUUUCAAA